rnacentral:misc_RNA from 1 species
ACACCUCAACUCUCAUGGCUUGCCGUGAUGAGCUUGGACUUUGGGGGUCUUGCUGGCCUGUGGGCCAGCUCCUCUCAAAUGAAUUAGCCUCCCAGUGUUUGGUGGCAUCACAGGUGUGAUAACUAUCUACGCUUGUGGUUUUCCACCGGUAACCUUUGGCAGCGGAGGUUCGCUGGGGCUCAUAAAUGUCUCUCCUUGGCAGGGACAGGUUUUGACC